GGGGAACUUUGGGGUGUGCUCGGAAAAGGCAGCGUGCGCACCUAGGGCGAGGGACUAGCUGGGAAGGGUGUGCCUGUGCUUGGGGAUGGGAGCAGGAAGUGUCUGGGACCUCGUCGCCCCCGCGGCGGUGUAUAAAGCCGGGCGGGCCGUCAGAGCGGAGCUUCAGAGCAGAGACAAGAGCCCAGAAAGGAGCAGAUGCUAGAUUUGCAAGAUCAGAAGCAGGUCUUGAUCCUCCUGCCCAGGAUGAACCAGACUUGAUGAUGCCACCUUCAGGAGCCACCACACUGUGUGACAGUGGGGCAUUUGGGCCGUCCCUGGGAAGAACAGAUGCGCUGCUGUCACACAUGUCCACCACCACAUGUGACAUUAGUGACGUUAUCCUGACGUCACAGGAUCCAAGAAUGAUGAUCUGUGAAGAGUUUUCCAAGGUCACCUACUUCUAACUCUUUUGAAAGAUUUAAAGACAUUGGGCCUGAAAACUUCAGUGACUUGUCCGGGGAAACGCAGUUUGUGACAGUUCACUCUCUCACAGACUCUCUCCUGGCUUUGAUGAAGCAAGCUGCCAUGUUGGAGAGGCCUACAUGACAAGGAACUGAAGGUUGCCUCCAGCCAGCUCCAGCCAACAGCCAUCCAGGAAUUGAGGCUCUCAGUCCAACAGGCCUUGAGGAACUGCAUCCAGCCAGCAACUAUAGAAGUGAGCAAAGAAGGGUGUAUUUCCCCAGUCAAGCCUUCAGAUGAGACCCCAGCCCCAGCUGACACCUUAAUUGCAGCCUUGUGAGAGA
rnacentral:lncRNA from 1 species